rnacentral:rRNA from 1 species
UUUUAAGUCCAAUCUGCCCAAUGAUAUAAAAAUUAAAUGGCUGCAGUAUAAAUAACUGUACAAAGGUAGCAUAAUAAAUUGAUUUUUAAUUAAAAUCUAGAAUAAAAGAUUUAAUGAAAUAUAUAUUUUUUUAAUUUAAUAAAUUCAAAUUAUUAUUUAAGUAAAAAAACUUAAAUAAAUUAAAAAGACGACAAGACCCUAUAGAAUUUUAUUAAUUAAUUUUUAUUUAAACUUAAUUUAACUUAUUAAAAUUAAAUUAAUUAAUUUAUUUGGGGUAAAUUUUAAAUAAAUAAAACUUUUCUUAAAUACUACAAUAAUUUUUGAAUAAAUAUUCUUAUUAUAUAAAUUAAUAAAAUUAAAUUACCUUAGGGAUAACAGCACAA